GAUGAACGCUGGCGGCAUGCCUAACACAUGCAAGUCGAACGAACCCUUCGGGGUUAGUGGCGCACGGGUGCGUAACGCGUGGGAAUCUGCCCUUGGCUUCGGAAUAACAGUUAGAAAUGACUGCUAAUACCGGAUGAUGUCGCAAGACCAAAGAUUUAUCGGCCAGGGAUGAGCCCGCGUAGGAUUAGGUAGUUGGUGGGGUAAAGGCCUACCAAGCCGACGAUCCUUAGCUGGUCUGAGAGGAUGAUCAGCCACACUGGGACUGAGACACGGCCCAGACUCCUACGGGAGGCAGCGGUGGGGAAUAUUGGACAAUGGACGCAAGUCUGAUCCAGCAAUGCCGCGUGAGUGAUGAAGGCCUUAGGGUUGUAAAGCUCUUUUACCCGGGAUGAUAAUGACAGUACCGGGAGAAUAAGCUCCGGCUAACUCCGUGCCAGCAGCCGCCGUAA
rnacentral:rRNA from 1 species